rnacentral:ncRNA from 1 species
UGGGAUUAACGUGAUAGGGUAGGGUUGGCUAUACUGCUGGUGGCAAACUCCAGGCUAAUAAUCUGAAGCGCAUGGAUACAAGUUAUCCUUGGAAGGAAAGACAAUUCCGAAUCUGCUUUGUCUACGAAUAAGGAAGNNNNNNNNNNNNNNNNNNNNNNNNNNNNNNNNNUAAGAACCUGCCCUUGGGAGGGGAACAACAACUGGAAACGGUUGCUAAUACCCCGUAGGCUGAGGAGCAAAAGGAGAAAUCCGCCCAAGGAGGGGCUCGCGUCUGAUUAGCUAGUUGGUGAGGUAAUAGCUUACCAAGGCGAUGAUCAGUAGCUGGUCCGAGAGGAUGAUCAGCCACACUGGGACUGAGACACGGCCCAAACUCCUACGGGAGGCAGCAGUGGGGAAUUUUCCACAAUGGGUGAAAGCCUGACGGAGCAAUGCCGCGUGGAGGUGGAAGGCCUACGGGUCGUCAACUUCUUUUCUCGAAGAAGAAACAAUGACGGUAUCUGAGGAAUAAGCAUCGGCUAACUCUGUGCCAGCAGCCGCGGUAAGACAGAGGAUGCAAGCGUUAUCCGGAAUGAUUAGGCGUAAAGCGUCUGUAGGUGGCUUUUCAAGUCCGCCGUCAAAUCCCAGGGCUCAACCCUGGACAGGCGGUGGAAACUACCAAGCUGGAGUACGGUAGGGG